UUGGACAAUGGGGGGAACCCUGAUCCAGCCAUGCCGCGUGUGUGAAGAAGGCCUUUUGGUUGUAAAGCACUUUAAGCGAGGAGGAGGCUACUCUAGUUAAUACCUAGAGAUAGUGGACGUUACUCGCAGAAUAAGCACCGGCUAACUCUGUGCCAGCAGCCGCGGUAAUACAGAGGGUGCAAGCGUUAAUCGGAUUUACUGGGCGUAAAGCGCGCGUAGGUGGCCAAUUAAGUCAAAUGUGAAAUCCCCGAGCUUAACUUGGGAAUUGCAUUCGAUACUGGUUGGCUAGAGUAUGGGAGAGGAUGGUAGAAUUCCAGGUGUAGCGGUGAAAUGCGUAGAGAUCUGGAGGAAUACCGAUGGCGAAGGCAGCCAUCUGGCCUAAUACUGACACUGAGGUGCGAAAGCAUGGGGAGCAAACAGGAUUAGAUACCCUGGUAGUCCAUGCCGUAAACGAUGUCUACUAGCCGUUGGGGCCUUUGAGGCUUUAGUGGCGCAGCUAACGCGAUAAGUAGACCGCCUGGGGAGUACGGUCGCAAGACUAAAACUCAAAUGAAUAGACGGGGGCCCGCACAAGCGGUGGAGCAUGUGG
rnacentral:rRNA from 1 species